GGAUGUGAGGACAAUCUUGCUUCAAUUUCUUACAGCUCGUUGAUGCCUAGGGCUGAUUCAGCUUAUGCUUCUGACUAGGUAGACAUCUCUUCUUUCACCACUGUUCCAAAUGUGGGCUUCCCCAAUAAAGGAGGACUGAGGAAUUCUCAGUUCCCUCAGCCUCCUCUCCCCUCUGAUUGGAGGAUGGAAGUUGGAGCACUAAACACUUGACAAAGUUUUCCUUUAUAGACAGAAGGAUCUGGACCAUUGGUGGGGAACCUGUGGCCUCAAGGCCAUAUGU
rnacentral:sRNA from 1 species